CUGUUUGGUCUAGUGGUAUGAUUCUCGCUUUGGGUGCGAGAGGCCGCGGGUUCGAUUCCCGCAAC
rnacentral:tRNA from 1 species